UAUUAUUCCGAGAUUAAUUUAUAUCCUAAGUUAGUAGUAGAUAUUUACUUAAAAGCUAAAAGAUUUGGCGGUAAUUUAAUCUUUUCAGAGGAACUUGUUUUUUAAUCGAUAAACCGCGAAGUAUCUUGCUUGUUUUAGUAUAGUUUGUAUACCAUCAUUAUCAGGUAAUUUUAAAAGAGUAAAUUACURGGAGUAAAGAGUUAAUUAAAUUAGAUCAUGGUGCAGCUUAUAGACAAGUUAAAAUGAGUUACAAUAAAUUAUUUUAUACGGAUAAAUAAAGGAAUUUUGUUUAGAAGGAGGAUUUGGUCGUAUUUCAAGUUUAAUACGCUUGUGAGAUUAUAGCUCUAAAUUAUGUACAUAU
rnacentral:rRNA from 1 species